AAGACUGGCGCUUACAAGAGGGUCUUGGAAAUUAGUUAGAGAUAUCAUCUUGAAGACAGACAAUUAAUCAAUCAAUUAGGGAACGCCGGUGUAUAUUACGAUAUGUCAAAAGCAAAAAGAGGGAAAAUAGAAAUAAAACGCUAGCUAGCGAGCUCUGGGGCACAUUUUAACGAACUUGAACUAAACACGCGGUAAAAUGACAGGAAUGCAUUCCCGGUUCGUGUCGGUUUAAAACGUCAAAUGAGAGAAAGAAUCGUGUGUCCAAGUGAUUUGAACUUGGCAGUGGGAGCAGUGAGGCUUCAGGAGAGGGAGCUGAUGGAUUAUGCGCAGAUCACACUCACUGCGAGGUCGUGAUCUUGAAGAAGUCGAUUGAACUGAACCGUUCCCGGACCGACCGCCAAAUUAUACUUGGGAGGCAGGUUCUAUUUUUGUUUUCAAAAAAUGUAAACUGGAUUCUGAGAGAGCGAUUGAAAAGCUAAAUAUAUUAUUAUUGACGCGAAUCUGAACCAGACUGGCGUCCAUUGGUGUGCAGAUCUGAUCUUAAAUGCAAUCACUCGUGUGCUGUGAGAACUUUCACGAGACGAGAUAUCUCAAGGCAGAUGUGAGCAAAAAACACGGGUAUUUCUGUUAUGGAUCACAUACAGUAAUAUUGGAAAUUUUUUUUUAUCUAAUAACUCCAUCCUGCUCUGGUAUUUGUUUUGGAGAAUUCCGCUCAUGAACUGCCGCACUUCUAAUUCUAGCAAGCAAGGACGCAAAAACUUCUGCUUGGCUGACUUUGAUUGCAUGCAGUGCAUCCUUGCAUUUACUAGUAGGCAAGAGCGGUAGUAUGCAAUUUUAAUAUUGUCCUUCUAACGUUUCUAGUCAACUAAUCGUAGUUGCAAAGACUGGGAAUGAAUCUGUGUGGCUGAUUCAAAGUACCAUUACUAAAUUGAUUAUGGUAAAACGCAAUGAAUAAAGCGAUUUGACAUAAUUGCCGCCACUCAGAUAGGAGGCAUGUCUCUCGAUUUCAAAGUUCAAAACAGGGAUGCAACACAAUAAUACAACGGAAAGAACAUCGUUCACGGGUAUGUUCACCCACAACCAAGCGUAUUAUACACGCCGAAUAACACUGUAGUUCUGCUUUUUUUGCAGUACUCACCGUUUCAUUGUUUUCAUUUUAAUAAUUGCAAAGUGCCCGAUGUUUUAAUUGCAUAUCACCAUGUCACAUGAGACAUCCGCUGCUUUUUGAAUAUGUAAAGCACGGCGAGCUUCGGCACACGCAGCUGCGAUUCUGAACAGGCAGCUCACCCACCUUCUUACCGUUUUCUUCUCAUUCGGUUGAAAUACAAACGGCCAUUCACACCCGGUGCAUGUAUUUGCGAUCAGGACAGCUAAGACAUAAAACUGCAAUCGAGAUUAGUAAAGCACCAUCUAUCCCAUUGGGACUCACACUUGCAAAUGACGGGAGCCUCGUCCCCUUGGAAAUCGCCUCCUCUAGCACUAAAUUGCAUCAAUUCACGCUCGGGUUAUUCACACAUCGUUAAAAUGAGUAACAGUUUUGUAACCGGUAUGUCAAUUUACUUCUGUUAUCCUCCUCUUUUGCUGUGAGGAUCACUGGGAGAUACCGUUACCCAUUUCAACAUUUUAGUCGCCACGUUUGCGGCCAAGUGCAAUGAAAAGCUAUCUUAUUUCCGAUAACUCACAGACUACCCUCCUGUUUUAUGAUAUGGCUCGUGUUCGGAUUUGAAUUUUAAACAAUGUUUUGCAUAAGAACAGAAUCCUUUUCGAAAAUACUGAGAAGUGGUGAAGUAUAAAGAGGGUAAAAUCCAAGCCGUUAGCACGACCACCUCUUUGCGAUCCACGGGGUCUUUUAUUACGUUCCCCCCCCCGUCCGCCCCCACCACUUCAAUUAAUUAACACUUUGUUGCCAGUGAAGGAAACAUUUCUGGCCAGGACUUCAGGCGGCACGAGCCAGAGACAAUGUUUUAUUGUGUUAAGCCAUAGCUCUUUCUGGACCCCUGUUGCUAUGAAAACCAAACUGAUCAGCUGCCUGCAAAACUUGCAACGUAUGAAUGAAGAUUUGUGCAAAAGUAAACACAGCCAGCAAACUUUGUUGUUGGCUCCACAUUAUUUUUGUCCAGAAAGAGCAGCUCAUGACACAAUCAUGUUUUCUUGAUUCGAACAUGUGAGUUUUAGUUUUACAGCAAUUCGAAUUUAAUAACAAACACCAACGGUUUAUCUAAACUUUGCACCAAAAUUUCCUCGACUAUCUUCCCCCUAUCUCUGGGGUUUCAGAUAGUAAACUCGUCAAUCAAAUAACUUGCCACUGGUUGUAAAGUCUUCUGCGUUCAGGAACAGAUUUUCUGGAGGUGGCAAGUCGAGGUUUCUAAAAUCAGGAUCAUUUUGUUACUUUCGUUUAGUGUCUCGUGCGUUUCGAAUGUGUGUUGCGAAGGACCAUCGGUCCAUUUUCGCUGCUUUCAAACUGACUGCGGUUCUCAGAUUUGAAAAUAAACUUUGGCUGGAAAAAUGGUAACCGGAAAUUUCGGAUUGUGAGUGUUCAGUUCUUGGAACAUUUGACAAACAACUCCCUAAAGUCCAUGACAUUACAAAAUAAAAUAGCUGCACCUCUCGUUAUAACUUAAUGGAGGGUUUUAAAGACGAGGAAACAAACCACACGGGGUCUCAAUUCUUAAAACAUAAUUAAUUCAAAAAUAAUUUCGCCAAUCAUAACUGGCCUCAAAACGUCCAAUUAGUAUUUUCUUUAGAAAGAAUGGAUCUCUUCGUACACUAGCAAGUGGAUUUGCAAACUAGUACCAACUUGUUGCUCGGUACAUACUUUAUGGUGCCUUCCAAUUAUUUAGCCCCUCUGUAGAAUAAACGAGUCCAACGUUUCCAUAUUUGGGCGAGAUAACACAAAUAUUUUGUAUCCAUUCAUUACUUACGUUACAAGACACAGGUCAAAACGUCUGUAACACUUAACAAAAAUGCCCAGGACUUUUCUCAGUAAUCAUGGUCUCGAUACGAGUGCUUUAAUACAUAAUUCUCCAUUGUUCUGAUCAUCAGAUUUCAGCUGAUAAAUGCUGGCACCGAAGUAGGGAAUAUGAUGACCGACUAGGUGGGGAGAGAGAGGGCGCUCGAAGAAGGAUAACUGGCACACUGGAGGUUAAGUGCAACCCGCUUGUGAAAGUUCGAACUAAUUCAAUUUAAUGGACGAACAUUUCCAAGUUACAGUUUAAAAAAAACUAUUUUUUUUCGCUGAAUACGUUGUUAUCACCUGGAAUAAAACGGUUAUCAACAUAUGUUGCACAAAAUAUUGUCGCAAAUCUACAGCGUUACCGAGGGGCUAUAUCUAAUAAAAUGAAUAUAAAACAAUGUUGUUAAGUCCUGACACUCAGUUACACCGGUCAAUUAAAUCAUCCAAGUUAUCUCGGACGUAAACGCUCGUCGAUUUGUCACAGUGCAAAUCAGAUGCGAAUUAAACAUAAAUAUAAUUAUUUAUUCUACUGUUCACGCAAUUAAUGUCGUUAUUAUUAAUUUUGUAAUCAAGAAGCAAAAGUAAAAAUGAGACUUUUUGGCAAACUAUGUCGUCACAUUUUUUCUUGAAGAAUCGCCCAAUGAAAUUUCGGUAAGCCGUGUUAGCAUCAUUGAUUGUUAAGUUUAACACGUGUACAUUUCAUAUCAACAUGUAUGCGAGUUCCCUACUUCGCCAACUGAACUCAAAGUACUUCUAAGGUUCUCAUAAAAGUUUUACAUAAGUCACAAAAUUUAGACAGGAUAUAAGAAACCAUCUAUUUUUCAUCCUACGCUGGAAUGAUUUCGUGAAACUAACAAAGACCAUUUGAAAAUUUGAAUAAUGUGCUAUUAUCGUCGCAAAGGAAGUCAACACCGAGGCUGAACAAAUAUUUACUUUUAGAGAAAGAGACAGUAUCCUUACAAUGGCUCUUUGUCAACUUAUACGUUAUGUUAAAAGAUUGUGAGAUGGUGAAAGACUUAUUGUAUGUUUUUGCAUUUUUCUUCGAGCUUAAUAUGCAGGGCGCGAUAUUGAAACAUAAACGGAGCAUCUAGCAUUUUGCUCAUUCAAUGUGUCAGCUACUGUGUAGAAAACAGAAUAUCCAUUCGCCAAAAUUGAGAAAUGGUCGUUACCUGGUCGCUUGCAGCUCAUUACAUCUCACUUAAUUGGCCGUGAAGCGUUCAGGACAUUCGAGAAAGGACUCUCCCGCAUCAGACAAAAGCAGAUAAGCCAAUCAUAUUUAGCUGACAUUUGACCUUUGCCAAGCUGAAGACUCCUACCUCUGCGGCAGUCAGUCAACCGUAGUUAAAACGGCAAACAACACCUAAAGGGUGACGAGUCCUGGAGCAGCGCUAAGGUAAAAACCACUGGAGCAGUGAGCGGAAACAAGUCCCAAAGCAGAACGAGAGGCAGCGCGAGGGGAAGCAUGUCCCGGAGUAGCGAGGGGAAACGAGCCCCAGAGCAGUGAAGGGCAGCUUGGCCUGGAGCAGCACAAUAAGUGUCUCCUGAUGCAACGAGAGGAAACAAGUUCCAGUGCAGCGCGAGGAGAAAGAGCCCUGGAGAUAUACAGCUGAGUGCCGGUGCAGAGCGGACUGAGGCUUGGAGCGGAGCUGGACUCAUGUUGGA